GGAUACAUAUAGCCUUAUAGAAAAAGUAUCCAUUUAUAGGCCUUUUGAGUAGUUCGGGUACUGUAGUUGGUCGUGCAUGGAAUGCUUAAAAUUUGAUAUUUCUUGCUACCAAGUAAAAUCCCAUAUGAUAUUAAAUAUGUGUUUUAGUUUAAGAAAUCUACUUUUAUUUCCUGUGCGUUGUAGCAGUAAGCUGUAUUCAUAGUUUGUUCAUUACACGUAUGUGCAUAAAUAAAACUGUGAUUAUUAU
rnacentral:sRNA from 1 species